GACGAACGCUGGCGGCGUGCUUAACACAUGCAAGUCGAACGGAAAGGCCCUGCUUGCAGGGUGCUCGAGUGGCGAACGGGUGAGUAACACGUGGGUGAUCUGCCCCUUACUUUGGGAUAAGCCUGGGAAACUGGGUCUAGUACUGGAUAGGACCAUGCUGUAGGUGGUGUGGUGGAAAGAUUAGUUUCGGUAAGGGAUGAGCUCGCGGCCUAUCAGCUUGUUGGUGGGGUAAUGGCCUACCAAGGCGUCGACGGGUAGCCGGCCUGAGAGGGUGGACGGCCACAUUGGGACUGAGAUACGGCGCAGACUCCUACGGGAGGCAGCAGUGGGGAAGAGUGCACAAUGGGCGCAAGCCUGAUGCAGCGACGCCGCGUGGGGGAUGACGGCCUUCGGGUUGUAAACUCCUUUCAGCCAUGACGAAGCCCUUGUGGUGACGGUAGUGGUAGAAGAAGCACCGGCUAACUACGUG
rnacentral:rRNA from 1 species